rnacentral:rRNA from 1 species
CCUCCAAGGCUAAAUACUCCUGACUGACCGAUAGUGAACCAGUACCGUGAGGGAAAGGCGAAAAGAACCCCGGCGAGGGGAGUGAAAAAGAACCUGAAACCGUGUACGUACAAGCAGUGGGAGCACCCUUUUGGGUGUGACUGCGUACCUUUUGUAUAAUGGGUCAGCGACUUAUAUUCUGUAGCAAGGUUAACCGCAUAGGGGAGCCGGAGGGAAACCGAGUCUUAAUUGGGCGUUAAGUUGCAGGGUAUAGACCCGAAACCCGGUGAUCUAGCCAUGGGCAGGUUGAAGGUUGGGUAACACUAACUGGAGGACCGAACCGAC